rnacentral:rRNA from 1 species
UAAUACGGAGGGUGCAAGCGUUAAUCGGAAUUACUGGGCGUAAAGGGUACGUAGGCGGUUAUUUAAGUUGGAUGUGAAAGCCCCGGGCUCAACCUGGGAACUGCAUCCAAAACUGGGUAACUAGAGUGUAUGAGAGGUUGGCGGAAUUCCAGGUGUAGCAGUGAAAUGCGUAGAUAUCUGGAGGAACAUCAGUGGCGAAGGCGGCCAACUGGCAUAACACUGACGCUGAGGUACGAAAGCGUGGGGAGCGAACGGGAUUAGAUACCCCGGUAGUCCACGCCCUAAACGAUGAGAACUAGCUGUUGGUUGCGUAAAUGCAGUCAGUAGCGAAGCUAACGCGUUAAGUUCUCCGCCUGGGGAGUACGACCGCAAGGUUG